CGCGGCCUAUCAGCUUGUUGGUGAGGUAAUGGCUCACCAAGGCGACGACGGGUAGCCGGCCUGAGAGGGUGACCGGCCACACUGGGACUGAGACACGGCCCAGACUCCUACGGGAGGCAGCAGUGGGGAAUAUUGCACAAUGGGCGAAAGCCUGAUGCAGCGACGCCGCGUGAGGGACGACGGCCUUCGGGUUGUAAACCUCUUUCAGCAGGGAAGAAGCGAAAGUGACGGUACCUGCAGAAGAAGCGCCGGCUAACUACGUGCCAGCAGCCGCGGUAAUACGUAGGGCGCAAGCGUUGCCCGGAAUUAUUGGGCGUAAAGAGCUCGUAGGCGGCUUGUCACGUCGGGUGUGAAAGCCCGGGGCUUAACCCCGGGUCUGCAUCCGAUACGGGCAGGCUAGAGUGUGGCAGGGGAGAUCGGAAUUCCUGGUGUAGCGGUGAAAUGCGCAGAUAUCAGGAGGAACACCGGUGGCGAAGGCGGAUCUCUGGGCCAUUACUGACGCUGAGGAGCGAAAGCGUGGGGAGCGAACAGGAUUAGAUACCCUGGUAGUCCACGCCGUAAACGUUGGGAACUAGGUGUUGGCGACAUUCCACGUCGUCGGUGCCGCAGCUAACGCAUUAAGUUCCCCGCCUGGGGAGUACGG
rnacentral:rRNA from 1 species